UUGACCCUAGCACCUCCACGCCGCCGUCAUGCCCACCUUGAAGCCAGCACGACCGACGCUCGAAGCCAGGUCAGUGAUUUUCUUUUUAUUUUAUCUUUUAUAUAUAAAAAAAUGGAAAUCGAAAAAAGAAAAACAAAAAAUGGAGAAAAUCACCUAAAAAACUGCUUGUGUAUUGCUUUUUGAUUCUUUACAGAGUUUUUCUUCUCCCCUUACAGUACUUUUAAGAUUGCUUUUAUAGCAAUCGUGAAACAAGAAAAAAUAAAAAGAAAUCUUCUAGUAUCUGCUUGAUUCGAUUUCAAUAUUUUCUUGCCAUAUACUGCCUUGUUUCUUUUUUUGGGUUGUUUGCAGGUCAACCAGCGGACACUCCGGCGGUAACGGCGCAGACGUGUGUGAGGAGUGCGAAGGGCUUGGCUGUGGCUGGAGGCUAUUUUAGGGUUUCUUCUUUUUUGUGUGUGUUUUGGGCUAGGGUUAAUUUUAUUGGGCCAUACGGGUUAUUGGGUUUUGGGUUGUCUUUUAUUCUUUUGUUUUUUUGUUUUUGGUUUCUUUAGCGUGCCGGGCUAAAAUUGGGCCCUACACUAAUAUCAAUCUACUCUUCCAAGAACGUUUCAAUAUUAAUAAACUUG
rnacentral:lncRNA from 1 species